CCUCGGACCCAUCCCUUACACAAUAAUGCUUAGAGAAAUAUUCACCGAUAAAUCGUUACUCAACCAUUCCUUAUGAAAUGCAGGUGCAGAGAGAUGAGGAGAGGAAGACCCCCACUAAACCUAGCGGCCUGGGAUAAUUCACUUCGGGAGGAUGUAGACAGGUUAUUUGAGAUGAUGGAAGGAUUCAUAGCUGCCCAGCAAGG
rnacentral:lncRNA from 1 species